rnacentral:rRNA from 1 species
GAUGAACGCUGGCGGCGUGCUUAACACAUGCAAGUCGAACGGAAAGGCCCAAGCUUGCUUGGGUACUCGAGUGGCGAACGGGUGAGUAACACGUGGGUGAUCUGCCCUGCACUUCGGGAUAAGCCUGGGAAACUGGGUCUAAUACCGGAUAGGACCACUUCUUGGAUGUUGUGGUGGAAAGUUUUUUCGGUGUGGGAUGAGCUCGCGGCCUAUCAGCUUGUUGGUGGGGUAAUGGCCUACCAAGGCGUCGACGGGUAGCCGGCCUGAGAGGGUGUACGGCCACAUUGGGACUGAGAUACGGCCCAGACUCCUACGGGAGACAGCAGUGGGGAAUAUUGCACAAUGGGCGCAAGCCUGAUGCAGCGACGCCGCGUGGGGGAUGACGGCCUUCGGGUUGUAAACUCCUUUCGCUAGGGACGAAGCGUUUUGUGACGGUACCUGGAGAAGAAGCACCGGCUAACUACGUG